ACGAUACAAGUUCCAUGUAACCUGUCGGCAGAAGUCCAGUUUGUGAAUUUUACACAGAACGAACGCAUGCGCCUCAAAAAAAUAAAAAAAAUACGAACGCAUGCGUCAUUGAACCCCACAAAGGUGAAAAUUUUCAAUCUCGCUGCAACCACUAACCACGUGAUUAUCCGCUGUUCCUUAAUCAUCUGGCACGCAGAUACGAAUUAAAAAUACGCUGGGGGCUCUUUCUGUCGCGAAGGAAUUAAGAUACUACUAGUACUUAGGAGUACACAACAACGACCCUGUACCAUAUGCUGCGUUACAAUUAACCUGAAAUUUUGCCCAAAAGGCAGAUGGCCAAGUGCGUCGAUUUGACCUGGAUGAACACCAAAUAGGCGCAAUUAAUCGAUCCGUUAAGUACGUAAUAUAUAGCUGGGCAUGCACUGGCAGUUAAGCGGUUGCGCCGUCCCAUUCACCCCCAAGAACGAACGUCGCAGCCGACCGCUCCGCCGUCCACGUC
rnacentral:lncRNA from 1 species